rnacentral:rRNA from 1 species
UGAGGAAUAUUGGUCAAUGGACGAAAGUCUGAACCAGCCAUGCCGCGUGAAGGAAUAAGGCCCUAUGGGUCGUAAACUUCUUUUGUAUGUGAGCAAUAAGGUCCACGAGUGGUCCGAUGAGAGUAGCAUACGAAUAAGCAUCGGCUAACUCCGUGCCAGCAGCCGCGGUAAUACGGAGGAUGCAAGCGUUAUCCGGAUUCAUUGGGUUUAAAGGGUGCGUAGGCUGUGCGUCAAGUCAGGGGUGAAAUUCCGGGGCUCAACUCCGGGGCUGCCCUUGAUACUGUCGCGCUGGAGUGCGGAUGCCGCCGGAGGAAUGAGUGGUGUAGCGGUGAAAUGCUUAGAUAUCACUCAGAACACCGAUUGCGAAGGCAUCUGGCGAAUCCGUAACUGACGCUGAGGCACGAAAGCGUGGGGAUAGAACAGGAUUAGAUACCCUGGUAGU